rnacentral:rRNA from 1 species
GACGAACGCUGGCGGCGUGCUUAACACAUGCAAGUCGAACGAUGAAGAAAAGAAUCGAUGCUUCGGCAGAAAGUCAUUUCUGAUUAGUUGCAGACGGGGGAGUAACGCGUGAGCAACCUACCUCUUACAAAGGGAUAGCCUCGGGAAACCGGGAGUAAUACCAUAUAACAUUGCGACUAAGCAUUUCGAUGCAGUCAAAGCUACGGCGGUAAGAGAUGGGCUCGCGUCCCAUUAACCGGAUGGUGAGGUAACGGCUCACCAUAGUGACGAUGGGUAACCGGCCUGAGAGGGUGAACGGUCACACUGGAACUGAGACACGGUCCAGACUCCUACGGGAGGCAGCAGUGGGGAAUAUUGCACAAUGGAGGGAACUCUGAUGCAGCGACGCCGCGUGAGUGAUGAAGGAAUUCGUUACGUAAAGCUCUGUUCUAUGGGAAGAAAAGGACGGUACCAGAGGAGAAAGCUCCGGCUAAAUACGUG